AGUUACGCAAAAAAUGCACGGUGGAAGACUGCCACUCAUCAAAGUGAUGAGGAUGGUAUAUUUUUUGCGUGGAGCGAUGGCGAAAAGUUGCAGGUGAUAUAAUUCCGAACAAUUUCUUAGAGCACAUCACGUGAUACAACCGAUAGAGGAUGUAGAUUGAAGCCACAUCUCG